CAACCCGGGAUUGCCUUAGUAACGGCGAGUGAAGCGGCAAAAGCUCAAAUUUGAAAUCUGGUACCUUCGGUGCCCGAGUUGUAAUUUGGAGAGGGCAACUUUGGGGCCGUUCCUUGUCUAUGUUCCUUGGAACAGGACGUCAUAGAGGGUGAGAAUCCCGUGUGGCGAGGAGUGCGGUUCUUUGUAAAGUGCCUUCGAAGAGUCGAGUUGUUUGGGAAUGCAGCUCUAAGUGGGUGGUAAAUUCCAUCUAAAGCUAAAUAUUGGCGAGAGACCGAUAGCGAACAAGUACAGUGAUGGAAAGAUGAAAAGAACUUUGAAAAGAGAGUGAAAAAGUACGUGAAAUUGUUGAAAGGGAAGGGCAUUUGAUCAGACAUGGUGUUUUGUGCCCUCUGCUCCUUGUGGGUAGGGGAAUCUCGCAUUUCACUGGGCCAGCAUCAGUUUUGGUGGCAGGAUAAAUCCAUAGGAAUGUAGCUUGCCUCGGUAAGUAUUAUAGCCUGUGGGAAUACUGCCAGCUGGGACUGAGGACUGCGACGUAAGUCAAGGAUGCUGGCAUAAUGGUUAUAUGCCGCCCGUCUUGACMCCGGGAACCAA
rnacentral:rRNA from 1 species